UUGUACAUGAGAAAAGGUGGAGAAAUAUAUAUUAUUGAUAGCAGAGGCAGAGAGCAGUGGGGAGAACAUGACACUGGGGACAAUAAGGAGGAGGAAGAAGAAGACAAAGUUGAUAUAUAGUAAUGUGUUAUGUGGUGAUGUGCAUGUUUCAGUGAAAAGUAGAAAUAUUAAAUGUUAAAAGAGUUGGAGGUAGUAAUUAGUAUGAGAGUGGAGUUAGGGAAAGGAUUAAGAAAAAUGGGAAUAGCUUUAUCGUGUAGAGUGUUGGAAGGAACAAGUGUGGGAAUCGUGGUGUCAGAAUUUAUUGGACCCUUUCUCUUUCUUUCUACCUUGCUUUUGGUUUUGUGCACUCAUGUCUCAUGCAGUACUGCCUCUGCCACCACUUGCAGACUUGUGUAUUCUUCUAACAUGCUUCUGCCUCACGCUUUUUUGCAGCCACUGCCAGCACCCAGCUCUGGUGCUGAUCACGACUUCGAGCCUCCUCUGUCACCACCGGAGAUUCCGCCUGUGGCUGCAGACGGUGGUUGUGACACGACGAGUCUCCAGCACCAAUUUUGGCGGGAGGUGGUGGAGAUGAGAGCUCCGCCAGUGCUCCGGUGAUGAAUGACGGCGGCAUGAGUCGUUCUUUGUCACUGUCUUUAACCAAUUAAUAGGCUAAACGUGGUUUUUUAGCAUUUUUUAUUUUGAUAACAUUUAAUUGUUAUUUAAUUUUAAUUUAUAUUGUUUAAUUCAUAUUUUAUUAUUAAAUAUUUGUUUUACUCUUGUUACUGUUUAUUUUAGAAGAUAAUUUAAUUGAAAUGUCUUUAGUGUCCGAAGAGACACGGCCCAAGAUUGCAUGGAGUCAAUUAAGAAAGGAGAAGAAGAUUUGGUGAACUUAGAAGCAGGGCUUGUUUAUGAUGCAUUCAUCAACCACUCAAUGAAAGCCAUAGCCAAUUAAGAAAGGUAUCUUUGUUUGUCCUCAAGGGGGUUGCAGAGAAAUCACCGGUUAUCCUGAAGAUUGUUCGCAAGUUCUUGAACUUAUUUAGUGAGUUGC